rnacentral:lncRNA from 1 species
AGCGAGGGAGGAGCCGCGGGCGGGGCCGGGCGAGUUUAAAGCCCUUCGAGGGGGUGGGGAGGCCCCGAGGAGGCAGGAAGGGAAGGGAGCUGCUGUUGAGAGGGUGGGCGAUCUUGGCGCUCGGAGACCCGCCGGAGCCCAAAGUUUCCACGCAGCCCCUGGGCGGAGGCUGCAGUGCGGGGCGCCCGGGACAGUCCUGCACGCCGUCCUCGCCCCGAGGGGACUCUGUGCCCACCGCCUGCUGCACUGAGUGUCGCUGGCGGCCACGCGGAGGCGGCGAGGAGCGGCGCCGCGGCAGGUACGGAGUUGGGCGGGGAGCGCGCCAGCAAGUUACUUUGUGGUCCGCGCCGCCGCGGGGCCGGGCGGACCGGGCGGGUCCCCGCCGUCAUUGUCUGCGCUCUAGCCGGCUGCGGCCAGGGACGGCGGGCCCCGCUGAGGCGCAAAGGACGGAAGGGCGUCGCCUCAUGGCCGGGGGCUUCUGCACCCUAGGCCCGUGGCGGGCGGUACUGUGAGGCGGGUCGGGGACUUCGGGUACGCUGGCGAGGCGGCGGGGCGCCCCGCCGGGCUCUCCCCGCUGCGCUCUCGAUCCCUGGGGGGAGGUGUAGCUUUUUAUUGUGUUCGAAUUUUCUUGGGAUUGGAAGAAAGGCCAACUUCUUAUUGUUUGGUUUGAUAAAAUGUUGUGGUAAAGUAGGGGAGCCACAGGUGAUUUUACAGGGGCCUUGAUCUUUAGGAUGCUUUUGAAAGAAUGUUUUCUUGAAAAAGGUUUCAUUCAAGAGAUUCAAAGAAAAGACCCAAACAAGUAGCGCUCGUGAGUAAAUUUGCGUUAUUGCACAACUUUCUCUUUGCUGCUGUUUAAAAGGCCAGGCCCAGAAGACUUUGUUUCACAAAAUGCUGAUUCAGCUGUUUGGAGCCCCUGAGUUUCAAGAAAUGGUGUUCUAUUUAACGUUUCUCUCUGUUUUACUAAGAACACAUGUUGUUAGCGCAGCAACAGGCAUAGACUAGGGUUUAUAGCACAAUGAUGGUAAUAUUUUAACAAGAGUUGAUCUAGAGCUCCUCUUUCCAGGAGAACAGAGAGGUAGAAUCUAGAUUUUUACAGCAGAGUGGGUUCUGACUAAGGUAAUGAUGAAGUGUCUAUUAGGAAAGUAUUUUUCGAAGUAAAAGUCCUGAAUUCAAACUUUUUUUCACCAGGAAUGAUUGCUGAUGUCCAGGUUUUUCUGUUAAAAAUCAAUUCUCCAGGAUUCCUGCACAUAAUAUUUGAGUUUUACUGGGAGCACUUGAAAGAGGAGGGCUGCACAGGCCAAUCCCCAGAUUACAGGAAGGGAAUUUAAGGACAGACAGAGUUACAUGCCCAGCAGGCAUUGCAGUAACUGAGAAGUGUAGCCACUGAUACUUUGGUAGCAUUUCACAGUUUACAAGACACUAUCAAAAGCCUUGUUGCUUUUAAUCCACUGUAUAGUCCCCCUGAUCCCCAUUUUACAGGUCUGGAAACCGAGGCUCAUGAGGUUAAUUGGCACGCCUUAGGUCGUUCCGGCUGGCAAAAGAUAGAACUAUCACUAGAGCCUAAGCUUUGGAUUCUUUUUAGUCCUGUGUUUUAUGCUUGUGCAAAAGUACAUCCACUGCUGAAGGAGAAAUGGCAUGGAGGAAGUACACCCUGCCACUCACACAGCUGGACAAUAAGAGGCUGUGGCAUGAUGUUACUUAAUCUGGUGACUCCCAGCCUUCAAGAUUAAUGCCAUAUUGGUGAAACCAUUAUCGAUAUUUAUUUUUUAUACUUGAACUCACAUUUGUUUUGGGAAGAAACUUUGAUGUCCAUGAAGUCAUAAGUUUGAUAUGGUAGUUAUGUUUACGGUAAUUAAAAUAGAAAAUCUGAGUACCCCCAAAGUCACCUGUUGCAUGUCAUCUGUGGUCUGCUUGGCUUUUGGAGCAGUGUUGAAUUGGUUAAAAUGGUUUUCAUUUGUGGACCAGGAAACUGGAGCUGAGCAAGUUCAUGGCAGCUAACUGUCCCGGGCUUUGUAUGCUGCCCACUGCCAGGAAUGGAACCCAGGGUAGCCCUGGCUCACUUUUAGUGACAGGGUCUGUGUCUUGUCAGUCUCCAGCAGGAGAAAAGAGUAAAGUUAGAAUCUAAGUGCUGGCUCAGAACUCUUGAUUUUGAUGACUUAGCUGGGUCAGAGACUUUAAAAUGUAUGGAACUCAAACUCCUGAGUGAACAAAGAAAUCUAUCUUCAUCUUGGAGCUGCAGAUUUUUUUUGGUUGGAACAGCUGACAAAAAUGAAUGCUUUAAAGUGGCAUAAGUUAAGGAACUUAUUUCUUUGGAAUUCUGUCCAACUUUUAACUACAGGGGAAGAAGAGCCUACAGAAUAGUAGCAUUUAUUUGAGAUUGUAAGUGGAAUUAUGUUGCUAACCUGACAGAACUCAGAGCAAACUGCAGGGGAUUUUGGUCCUGUUUCAUAGGAGAGAAACAUGUGCAUUUGCAUGUUGACUGCAUAAUCCCUUUGUUAAAGUAAUGUGGAGUUGCAUGGGCUUGUGAGGAGAAAAUAUUUGCCUUGUCUUUGAUUUAAGUACUCAGUCGUAGGUUCAAAAUUUAAAUGAACUUUUUCUGUUAGUGGAGAUUUUUUUUUUAAAUCUAUCUUAUUUUUUUGCUUAUCUAUGGAAAUUUAUUUCCUUCUUACUUGUUUUUAAUUUUGAUGAUUUGGCUGGGUCGUAAACUUUACAAUGUAUAGAAAACAAACUACUUACUACUUCAACAAAGGAAUCUAUUGUGCCUUUAGUGGCAUCUUUAAGAAUCUUAGAAUUUCUUGGAUUGUUAAGCAUUUCUUAAGGUGAAUCUUGGGACUGAAUCUAGACCUUUCUUUUUGAAUGUAAGCAUUUAAAGCUAGAAGUUACCCUCUAGGCACUGCUUUAGCUGCAUUCCACAAGUUUUGAUGUUGUUCUUGUUAUUUUCUAAUAAAAUUCAGUUCAGAAAUAUGGGAGAUUAUGGAAGAAAUUAGGUUGGUCAAACUAUAUGGCGGGGCUUGGCAAACAGGUGCUUUGGGAUUUGAGGUGUGUUCUUCAGGGUGUGCACAGUAAUGGGUGUAUGACUGCCCUGAUCUAUUUAAGCACUGGAUGGUACUGAAUUUGUGUUAAUAUUAUUUGAGCAGUGCACUUUUAGGGGGCUUUCUUUGUUUUCCCUUCUGGUUGGAAAUCCUGACGUUUAGCUGCCCUCACAGACUCUGAGAUGCAACCUUUCCUGCCACUUGUCUUUGGGAGGCUUUUGUCUACCCUCCUAGUGAUACCAGGACCUGUUCACUCUGGGUACAUAAAAGCAGGGGGAAGGGUAAAACCAUCUGCUCAAUCAUGUAAAGGCAGACUGACAAGUUCUUUAAUAAUGGGAUGAAAAAUGGUGUGAUUGUCCUUUGAGAAGUCAGCAACAAAAACCAUUUCUUAGGGUUAUCAAAACUCAUCUCAGAGGUAGAAAUGAGUGGUGCUGGUUUCUGUUUUUGGCAUAUAGACAAUAAGAAGAUUUCCCUUCUUCCUAUUUUAGAAUAUUAAUAUUUUUCAAUCAUCUGCUUUAUAUAUGGAUUUUCCUUGAGCAGAUCUUAAAUUCAAAGAGCUUUUUACUUAGGCUGGGUCCAGCAACACAAUAGACUUUUUUCUUUUAAAAAAAUAUGCAUUUUUAAUUGUUGAUGGACCUUUAUUUUAUUCAUUUAUUGAUAUGUGGUGCUGAGAAUCAAACCCAGUGCUUCACACAUGCCAAAUAAGUGCUCUACCACUGAGCAACAACCCCAGUUUUUAUUGUUAACAUUUACCAGGGCAAUGGAGAUAGGUACUGCAUUUGGGAGCAGGUUGCCUUUCCCAUCAUAUUGCUCCCUCUUUGCUUUGUUAGACCAAGGUAGCGGCUCACACUAACCAUUCUAUGAGGCUUAUUGCGUCAAUUGAACUGUUGGUUUUACCAUUUACAAGUUUUGUGAGCCUGAAAAAGUUAAUUAACUUCUUUCAUAGAACAACAAUUAUAAGAUGGUUCAUCUCUAAGUGUUGACAUGAAAGUAGAAUGACAUUAGGUUUGUGUGAAUGAUAGGAGCAGUUCAUGACACAUGCUGACUUUCAUGGUGAUGUGUCUCAGUACUGUGCAGUCAGUCUCAGAGUAGUUUGUAUGUUUGAUUGCUUCCUUUCUCUUCAUUUCUAAGGUCUGCUAGAAAGGGGACCCUGCUCUUCGUAUUUCUGUCUUGCUGUGCUUUGCACACAUUCAUUGUGCAAAACCUUGUUGAAUUGAUCUGAAUGUUCUGUGGGCCACUGUCACUGUUAAGAAUCUUUUUAUUGACUAUGUUUCGCAUGGCAGUUUGAACUCCUCACAGGUAGGAUGCUAAGAUCAAAGAGAGGUGAAGGACCAUAGACUUCACUUUUCUGAAAACCAUUUGAUACAGAUAAUAGUGUAUAGCAGGUAUCAAAAAUUGGUUCCCUGUGACCUGCAGCAAAAGAUGCAAAGACCCCUGAAAGGCACAAGCUCAGCUGGCUGCAGUUUUGGGUGAACAGAGAGAUCCGUUGUGGAGCCUAUGACAUUUGUGUUUGGGUCCCUGAGGUUGGAAUGAGAUGAACAUGAGCCACUCAUCCUGGAUAUGCUGACCAUGCCUUUGGGAGUGCCUUUGAACCCCAUCCAAGGGAUGUACUGGUGGGCAGCCCACUCCUCCCUGAAGUCUUAGCAGCGUUUGAGCCAGUUAAAUGGUCCUAGGCAUAAGCAGCUGCCAUCUCACCAACUAACAUGGGCUACUAAAGCACAUGGCAUGGAAAGAGCUCAGUGUAUGUUGUGUAGGCACUCCAACCUGAAAUCCUUUUAAUAUAAAAACCUUAAUACUAUCACAAAUCUAACACAGGUUGACCAUCUCUAAUCUGGAAACCAGAAUUCCAAAAUGUCCCCAAACCUGAAACUUUUAGGGUGGCAAAUUGAUACCGUAAGUGAAAAAUUCUACAUCAUGAAACUUUGUUUCAUGCACAGAAUUAGUAAAAAUAUCAUAUUUAAUUAUCUUUAGGCCAUGUAUAUACAGUAUAUAUGAAAUAUAAAUGAAUUUUGUGUUGGAAUUGGAUUCCCUCCCCAAGAUACCUCAUACAUGUUCAAAUAUUCCAAAAUCUGAAAAACAAAAUCAAAAUCUAAAACACUCUGAUACCAGGCAUUUUAGAAAAAGAAUACUACCCAGAGCAAUAACUUUAGGAUUCCCUACCACAGGAAAUUUAAAAUGAUGAAAAAUUGCUGUGAAUUGAAUGACUUUUAAAUUUAAAUGUUUGUAUAGUACCCUUGUGCCUGAGCACAAACCCUUCCUUGAGUCUGGGCCUCUGCUUGAGAGAGCUCUCUUUAGAAGGUCUUUGUGUUGGGAAGAAGGUAGAACUAGGUGAGUUCAGUGACCCUCUGAUUGUCCUGAAUGGGUUGGCUUCAGACAGAGGAUGCUGCUCUCCUUUCCACCCUGGCAGCGUCACCUGGCCCAGCACAGACUGUGGUGUGUUCCCUGAGAGCCUCCACAUUGCCAUUUCUAGGGAGCUGCCUGUUCUCUUCCAAUGAAAAUUGUGUGGGUCUCACAGAAACUGCUCCAGGAUGUUCCUAGAGAUAUGAGAACAUUAUGCGCCAUGGCCUGCAUCUCCUUAUUGGGAUGGGGGAGUCUAGGAGGAGGGAAUAAAGCAAAAAGAGGAGCUCCUUGCUUCCUUCUUGGGUCAUCCCCAACUGCAGGCCUUGAAUGCCCGCCCUACCCUGCACUCUGAGGCCUGCAGGCUGUGAGGGAGGGGAUGCAGAAAAAUACCCCUGUUGUGGCCCUCUGCUGAGACACUGUCCCUACCACAUGAGUGUCUCUACUGUGUUCAUCUGGAGGGGUACCUGGCUUUGUAAUUCCUUGACUCUUGAACUGUUUUUCUUUUUUUUUUUUCUUUCAGUUUAAUCAAUGAUGGAGGGACAUAGUUUAGAGAGUCACCUAAUUCCCCAGAAAUAAGCAGGAUUAUCAGGAUGUUUUUCCCCCAUGUUUACCUUCAUAUUUCUAAAUAGAGGUCUGAAUAAUAUAUUACAAUUUCUUUCCAUUUAUCCCUGUUCCACUGCCCUAGUAGAGCCCAGUUUUUCACAUACUUCUUUGAGGUUUCACCCUUUUGCCAUAUUCUGUGCUUACUCCUCCUGUCCUCCUUAGUAAGUUUAUCAAGAUCAUUAUGCAGAGUGGGGACAGUACCCUAAAUGCUGCUCAUAUUUGAGCCAUAUAGUAUAUAGUGAAACUUUUUUUUCUUUAUACAUUAUUUUGUUUUAUCCUGGAGUUGUUUCUGCUUAGAUGUUUUUACUUACUCCACUCCCCUCAAACUUACACAGUUAUAUGAAUCUCAGAAGCAUUAGGUAAUCUGCUGGUUUUAUCUUUGCAAGCAGUCUUCCAGGUGCCCUUUGGAACGGUCACUCUGAAGGCGCCCUGCACAGCUGUCAUCUUGGAAUCUUUCAUCUCCAUCAUCCUGGAAAUGCCCUUUGCUUUUCUCUUAGAUUUCAUGACUUGCUCUUUCUUGGUUUAUUCCCAAAAUUUGGAAAUACAUGGGAUGUAAAUUUUUUGAGACCGAGCAUGUCUGAAAAUGUUCUUAAUUCUAAUUCCACAGUUUAUGAUUUUAUAAAUUUCUAAACAGGACAGUUUUCCCUCAAAAAUUUUGAAGGACACCUACUGUCUUUAGGCAGUAUGGGGUUGUGGGGUUGAGAAUAAAGUUCAUUUGGUUCUUGAUUCUGAGUAUGAAAGAAUACCAAAGUGUUUCUUUCUAUUUUUUGGCUUUGGCUUUGGUUUCCUUUCGUUUUGUCAUGGUAGAAGCUUCUAGGGUAUUCUUUCUGUGUGUGUAUUCUGAAGUCCUUGAAGAGGUGUCUUGUUGGGUCUGGAUAUAUUAUGUAGCAUGUUGAGGUUCCUUUCAAGUUGGAAACUCAAAUCUUUCUGUUUUUUUUUUUUUGUUGUUGUUGUUGUUGUUUGUUUGUUUGUUUUGUUUUGCUGGGGAUCCAACCCAGGGCCUCAUGUAAGCUGGGAAAGCAUUAUACUGCUGAGCAACAUCACCAGCCCUCUUUCUGGGCUUGAACAUGUUUUUGAAUAAAAUCUUUAAUUUAUUUUCUUCCAUUUUCUCUCUCUCUUUUUUUUUUCUAAAAUGGAAGUUGUUAGCCUCCUACAUUGGAUCUCUUACUUUUUUUUUUUUUAAUCUUCUAUUCUAUAUUGAUUGUAUUGUUUUAGGUUUUGGAUUAUAUCCUUAAUUUGAUCUUUUUAACCUUCCAAUUUAUUUUAAGUUUCUGUUGACAUUUUUAAUUUUCAAGGAUCUUUUUUUUUUCUUUUUUCUUAAUAGACUUUAGUUCAGAGCCAUUUUAAGUUCACAGUACAAUUGCCCGACCUCCUGUGAUAUCCCCCACUAUGGAAAAUUUGAAACCAGAGUGGUACAUUUGUUACAGCCAAUGAACCCAUGCUAACUAACCCAUUUUUGACACCAGAAGGAAAUAUUCUUUUUUUUUUUUUUUUUAGUGGCAUGAUAUUCUUUUUCUGUAGAUAUAAUAGCCCCUUUUAUCUCAGCUGAAGAGACUUAAAAAAAAAAAAAAAACUUUUCAUGCAUAGUUUAUUCUCUCCAAUUUUAAACUUUUCUGCUUGUUUGUGUCUGGCUUACCUGGAAAGCAGACCUAUGGCAAACACUUGUGUGUUUGAAGGAGGGUGGGAGAGCUGGGGGAGGGGGCAGGAAGGAGGGAUCCUGCUGGGCUGCAUUGCAUGGAACUCAGUGAAGCUGUGUGUGUGUGUGUGGGGGGGGCUCCAGUGUGGGUUUGACUUGUGGCGGGAACUCCUGAUCCUCAGGACAGACUUGAGGAACAGGUGGGAGUGGAGGAUGUAUCUUCUAUCAGUGCCCCUUGUCAUGAUCCAAGGGGUGAAUCUGUACUGUUCUGUUGUUAGUCUGGGGGCCUGGAGGAACCUAUUGGUUCCCAUGCAGGCUGCAAGGUACCUGGGAGCCCUGGGAGGAACAUGCUCUGCAGUGGGCAAGGAUAGGGCCCAGAGAGUUGAGGCCCACAGCUCCCUGUGGGAAGUUGGAAGUCUUUUAUCCUGUGAGUCUUUAUGAGUGGGUGCUUUGAUUCAUGGACAGAUGCUCAGCUGCCCAGUUAUAUGGAGGAGGAACCCAUGCCUCAGGUUUCUUCUCCAUGACUCUGAGAAUCCUUAUUUGUUCCUUCUGAAGCGAGGCUUGGGGAGCUCCCUUGACUGACCUGUUUUCAGUCUAGGACCAAAGAAUUGAAUGAACCUGCUGACCUAAGUCCAGAGACCUGUCUCAUUGAUUCCAGAAAAGAAGCCCCUUCACUUAUCUGUGUGAGGGAACCCAGGAGAGACUGUGGUUCUAACUCUUCAGUAGAUUUCUAAUUCAUCCUCUUAUUUUGGUCCUUGCCUUCCCUCCAAUAUUGGAGGUAAAUGAUAUUUCUACUAAUCUAAGGAUUAUUAGAUAGUUCUGAUAGUUCUGGCAAUCUAAUGAUAGUUCUAAUCUCUAAUGAGAUUUUCUGGACUUCCCUGAGUAUAGCAAACUUUUUCUAUUUUUUGACUUAGCUUUCAGCUCUUAUACAUUCCUAAGUCAGUUACCCCCAUAACACGGGGGUUUUGGUAUCUUCAAAAGAUUUAUCUUCCUUUGUUCUAGCAGAAUAGGACUUCUCUGAUUCCUUGCCCAAUGUUGGACCUUUUUCCAUUGCUCUUCCCACAUCUAGGAAGAGCUGCAUUGAGCUCCCCCCCCACCCCCCCAAAUCAGGGAAGUGUGUUAGGGAAGCCCUUUGUGGAUGUAAACUCUUGUAGCCUAAGUGCCUGCAGGGUGGGUGUGAUAUUCAGCUAAGGGAGUUCACCACGCAGACAGAGAGCAGCCAAGCAGGGAGGCCUAGGGACAGCUAAGCCACCUUUGUGGUAUUGACUGCCGAGGUCGGGUGGAGUCACCAUGUCAGAAUUGCAGACAAGCCUCCAGUGAGUCUGGUGUACCGAAGGAAGACAGAUUCUCCCUGCCAGCCUCUUUCUUGGGGCCUUCAGUGAAGUAUGGAAUCUCUCUGUGCUUGAUAUUUUAAAAGAAUCUCAGGGUUGGAUUCUGUUCUUCCAUCUGCCAUUUUAUUCCUUGUGAUGUUCACUCUGUAACAGCUCCACUUAGGUGGUGCCCAGUUGAAGUGAAAAGCCUUCACACCUUAGGUGAUUGUAAUGCAGUGCCUCCAGGAGCAGACAGACUGUCCCUGUUUGCAGCUGGAACACAGCCCAUGUAUUUCCCCUUUAGCCAUGGCCCCUGUGCUCAGCAUAUUGGGUGGGGGCAGGGUAGAGGAGCUUAUUUUUCUCUUUCUUCUAUUAGUCCAGAAAAAAAAGGUGAUAAAAGACACUUUAUAUUCAAGGUUCCAGGCAACUCUGUGCUGAAGCACAGUUUAAUAGUAGUGUAGGGUGUGAUAUCAUGUUGUGGAUUUAGGAUUGAAUCCCUGUUGUGCUUCUUGUCCUUCCCUGUAUCUGGACCAGUGCAGCAGGAAUAAUAGUUUCUGCCCUGUAGAAUUAAGAAUAUUGUAUGCUAACUGUGGAAGAACACAGUAAAUGGAGUUAAUGGCAAAUUCACUACCAGUUUGAAGUGGGUGGGAAAGUUCCAGAUCGGUAGAAUAAAAAUGUGAGUUAUUUUUAUUCCUAAAUCUCUCCUAAGGAUUUCCAUCACCAGUUACUCCUUCAGCCCUCAUGUAAUUACCACCCAGAACUGGGCUUCUGAACUUUCAGAGAACACUGCAUCUUUUGAAUUUUAGAAUUAGGUGACAUUUAGGCGACAGUCUAAAUUCACUGACAUUCAACCCUUGUGGCCCCACAAAAGCCAGGCAGCUUGUUGCAGUAUGUACUUGUGACUUAGUAAGAAUAUUUUAGGAAACUCUCUUGGACUAGAACAGUUUUAUAUUCCUUUCAGGCUUGGGAAGCGGCACUUUGAUAAUGCCCAAGUGGAAAAAUAUGUGGGGAAAGACCAGGAACAUCAGGGUGUACCCUGAACUCCCGCCGCUUAAUGCUUAUCUUUGGGCCCCUCUUGGCUCUCUGCUACUAAUUUUCUAGGCCUGGGAAAUGUCAUCCACCAUUUCUAUGAGGCACACCAGGUGAUACUUAACAGGCACAAAGUUGGGGAAGCGAUGCUAUGUUCUUGGCCUUGGAACCACCCCGCUUUCUGGCGAUUAGGUCGGAAAGUUGGCAGCUCCUGUCUGGUGGAGUUGUUGCCUGACUGGAGGGACAAGGGCAGAAUGAUGGGUGGCGUUGAGGCAAUCUGAGCCCUGUGGCCCCUGUGAGGUCUGGGAACAUGUGUCAACAAGAGGCCUUUGUGUGGGCUUUCUUAUUCACUCUUCCAUCAGACUUAAAAAAAGAAGUUGGCCCAGUCCCCAGGGCUCCCCCAGCUCCACCCAGUGCAGGAGAGUGAGAAGCAAGUCUGGCAGUUGAUGUGGCCACUCAUCCAAAAUUGGCGUGGUGGAUUGUAUUUACUCAUAUUUCAUAGAAUUCGUUACCCAGGGUCCCUGGUUUUUGGCUUUAGGAUGGUGUGAAAGCAAUACACAUUUGGUAGAAAAUGUUCUUUGAAUUCUGAAUUUUGUUCUUUUCCUGGGCUAGCAAUACGUGCUAUUAUCCUCUUUUGCGAUUCCGGGAGCAAGCUCUUGAGGGGAAAUAGCCGACAGACACCCUAGUGUACUAAAUUGCUAUAAUGCUCUGUGGGUAGGUAUCUUAACUGCGUUUCAACUUACAGUGUUUUUAACUCAUGAUGGGGUUAUAUUCUAAUAAACCUUUGUUUACUUAUUAUCAAAGUAGUACUGGUGGCUUGAGACUGGUUAUUUGCAUUUGUCACUCAAGGCCAUGCAACUCCAUGCAGUGGUUUAGCAUGUAGGUGGGGGUGAGAACUGCAGGGAGUGCUCUGAUGGCUCUUGACAGGGACUCUUCCUGGAGUCACUGCAGUUGUUUGAGGCUGUCUUCUCAGCCCAUUCUUGCCCUACUUAGAUUGAAAAUACAAAAACCUUUCAUUGUAUAUAAAAGGACAGUGAGAAGAGAGACAGUUCAGGAGGACUCAGUGAUAAAUACAGGAUUCCCACCCUUAUCCAUAGAAGAUGUGUUCUAAGACCUCCAGUGGAUAUCUGAAACUGCAAAUAAUAUUAAUGUUAGUCAAUUUUCCAUUAGUGCCACCAUUAGUGUUACCUAAAAAAGGUGAUUAUCUUAGGCUCAUGACUCAUGGCCCAUGAAUUCAAGGUUUUAGUUCAUGGUCGCUUGGUCCUGUUGCUUUGGGACCCAUGGUAGUGCAGUAUAUCAUGGUGGGGAAUGUGUGGUAGAAUAAAGCUGCUCAUUUCACGGCAUCUGGGAAGCAGAGGGUGGGGUGGGGUAGGGGAUGGGUUGGGGAGAAGCUGGCAUUUCACAGUUCCCUUUAAGGGUACGACCCCAGUGACCUAAAAACUCCCACUAGGCCCUUUCCUUUAAUGGUUUCCAACUUACUCCUCUAGUGCCAAACUGAGGACCAAGCCUUUAAUGUGUGGCCCUUUUGGAGACAUUCCAGUUCCAAGCUAUGGCACUACUGAGAUUAACAACAACUGCUAAUAAAAUAGAGUAUUAUAACAUUGUACUGUAAAAAAAAAUUUGCACUUUGGGACCAUUAUUAAGUAAAAUAAAGGGUUACUUGAACACAAGUACUGCAGUGCCCCAACAGUCAAUUUGAUUACUCUGAUGGCUACUAAGUGAUUUAACAGGUGGAUGUUAAAUUUUUAUGGUGUGGAUAUGCCGGACAAAGAAACGAUUCAAAUCCUGGGUGGGAUAGAGCAGGACGGCACAGGAUUUCAUCACGCUACUCAUGCAAGUUAAAACUGAUGAAUUGUUUAUUUCUGGAAUUUUCCACUUAAUAUUUUCAGCCAUUGGUUGACCACAGAUAACUGAAACCUUAGAAAUUGAAACCAUGAGUAAGGAGGGACUAUUGUAGUGAUAUUAAUAUAUAUUUUUUAACUUAUUUAUUUUCUUGAGGCACAUUUUAGGUCAGAUAUAAGUUAAAUAUUAACAGUGCUUGAAAAUAGUGCUUCUUAAACUUUAAUAUGCAUGUGAUUCACCUAGGGGUCAUGUUAAAAUGCAGCCUUGGUACGUGUGGUAUGGGAUGUGAGAUUAUGUUUUUUUCUGACUGGCUUUAUGGUGAUGCCUGUGUAGCUAAUUAGUGACGGAGGCUUUGUGUGGUAAGGUCUUAAUGUACUUUCCUCCAUUUUAUCUUUGGUUUCUUUUUCUCUAGAAAUUCUCUGAACAGGUCACUUCACUCUUUAGGAAUUUUUGCCAACACAUUUCCUGUGAUUAGCCCGAUGUUGUUAUAAGUGACAUUCUUAAAUAUGCCCAUGCUUUAUUCUAAUAAUAAAUAUUUGCACAUUAUCCUGCUUUUCUAUUUACUUGGAUUCCUGUGGGUUUUAUUUGGUGAUUUCUCUCUCUCUUUUUCUCCCUCUUUUUUUUUUUUUAAUAAGGAUGGUAGAACCCUGAGAAAUGUUUUGAACAGAUUGAGCAGCCCUACCUGCCUGCAUUUAAAAAUAUAAAAUUUGUAGUGGGGCUCAGUGGUGCAGUCCUGUAAUCCUAGCAAUUUGGGAGGCUGAGGUUGGAGAAUCGUAAGUUUGAGGCCAGCUUUGGCAACUUAGGAAGGCUCUGUCUCAAAAGAAAAAAUAAAAAGAACUGGGGAUAUAAAUCAGUGGCAAAACGCCUCUGUUCAAUUCCAGGACUACUGCUGCUGUUGCUGCUAUUACUACUAAUUAUUAUUAUUAUUAUUAUUAUUAUUAUUUGUGUUUACGUUGAGCUUGGGUACUCUAAUGCCUCUCUUUUCUGGAGGCCCCUGCUAAGUGCUUCCACAUGUCAGGUUAUAGUUAGGAACUAGGAAGGGCUUUCAAACUGUGAAGAGAAAUAACAAAGAUGUCCCAGGGAGGCUGCCUUCUGGGGCCCUUGCACUGUCUUCUGUCAGCAUGAUCUUUUUUGUGCCCCAUAAGGUAGAGUUGGGUGUCCUGAUUAUUUCCCUGUUAGGGGACAUGACAUUAAAUUAGUGUUCCUCUUACUUGUACCCAUAGGUCUGUUUUCUCUGUGUAAGGUUGCACUCUGUGGAUCACCUUCUUAGUGCCACCUUUUGAAAAAUUCUGCUACAAAAAUGCUUCCUAGUCAUCCUUUAACAAGAAUUUUCCUAGUCAUGUUGUGAUGUUAGACAACUUAGUGCUUCUUCAGGUUAAUAAGUACUAUGAGAUAUAGUAAUCUAUAGCCAAAGAAGCUUGGAAAUGGUGGGUUAAAGUUGGGUUCUUAUGGCAGAAAUGUUGAGAAAAUUUAGUACACCAUGUACUGUGACAAUCCAAAGGGGAAGAUGACUAUGGUGAUUCCAAAUUUAGGCGACAUAGGAACCCCAUUUUUGCUGAUAUUUUAUGGGGUUAGCUUUUCACGUAGCUUCUCUGUCUCUCUGUCUUAAAAAAAAAAAAAACAGCUUUCUUGAGAUAUGAUUCAUAUACCAUACAAUUCACUCAAAUUUAAAAUGUACAGUUUAAUUAUAAUUAGUAUGUUCAGAGGUAUGUGCAAUUUGUUAUGUGUUUGUGUGUGUAUAUAUACAUGUUGACAUAAUCUGAACGCAUCCCCCAGAUCCAUAUGUAAACUAAACAGCCACUGCGAUAGGUGGUAUUCAAAGUUGGAGUCCUUGGGAGGUGAUUAGGUCAUGAGGGCAAAGAUGUCAUGAAUGGGAUUAGGACUUUUCUAAAAGGGUUUGAGGGAGUGGAUCCACUCUCUUCUGUUUUUCUACUAUGUGAGGACUUGGUGUGUGUGUCCUCUCUGGAGGAUGCAGCACAAGACACCUCUUGGAAGCAGAGCACAGCACUCAGAGGAUACAGAACCUGUUGGCACCUUGAUCUCGGACUUCCCAGCCUCCAGAACCGUGAGCAGUACAUUUCUACUAUUUAUAAAUUUAACAGACUGUGAUAUUUUAUUAUAGCAGCACAAACAGACUUAAGAAAUUUGUGUCUAAAAUGGGUUGUUACUAUAACUAAUACCUAAAAAUUGGGAAGUAGAUGCUGGGAUUAUUUAGAAGUGUGUGCUAAAAACAAAACAAAACAAAACACCAGAUUCUGUGAAUAGUCUGAUGGGCGAUUCUGAUAAGGGCUCAGAAGAAGAGAAGCUGUAUAGAGAGCACAAGUCUUAGAAAUUAUCAAAGUGGUUGUAAUCAGAAUGCUUGUAGAAAUACAGCGAGUAAAAGACAUUCUGAUGAAGUCUAAGAAAUGAGGAGUAUUUUUUAGAAACUGGAAGAAGGAUCAUUCUUACUAGAAAGUGGCAAGGAACUGGGCUGAAUUGUGCUCUUGUCCUAGGGCUUUGUGGAUCACGGAGUGAAAGAGCAGUGAACUCUUUGAUUCAGAUAACCUGAAGAGCAGGAUAUUUGGCAGAAGAACUCUCCAAGCAAGGUAUUCAAGGUGCUGUAUGGCUUCUCUUAACUGCUUACAAAAAGAUGUGAAAAGAGAGAAAUGAGUUAGAGGGAAAAUUUAUACUCAAAAGGGAAACAGAAUUUAAAGAUUUGGAAAAUUCUCACCCUGGCUAAAUUAUAAAAGCAUGCUUAGGAGAAAAUACUAAGGAUAUAUGAACAGCAGAAGGAAGCCAGAUACGACUCAACAACACAAAGAAAGAAAAACCUUGAAGGCAUUUGGAGGAUUAAUAAUACUGUCUAGCUUUUAUCAAGGCCCAGGGAACAAAACUGUUUCAAAGGAGGUGCCCACAGGAUCACAGCAUUCCUUUGCCUAGUGCCCCUUUGAGUCUCUGUACCUGCAUUCUGGUGCAGCACUCCGUGGCUGUCCCAGGUAUGGCUCAGGCAAGCCCUGAUGCAACUAGAGGACUGCCUCUGAAGGUACAGGUCUUCAUGUGGUGCGAACUUUGCUGGCAUGCAGAGUGUAAGAUCUGUGCAGGCAUGGCUACCUCCACUUUGAUUUCAAAGAGAUCUUGGGUGCUCAGGCAAAGAAUUGCCACAAGGGCAAGGCCAGGGUAGAAUUCCUGCUACAUUAAUGCCUGAUGGAGCUUUGGGGAUAGGUAUUUCUAUAGAGAGCCCUUCCAAGUUCAAUGCUCAAUGGUACCAUGGUAGCAGGGUCACCCUUGAGAGCCUGUAAGUUUAGAGCCACCAGUAUGCAACACUAGCUUGGGGGACCUGCAGGCAUUUGACUCCAACCCAUGAGAAUUGUUGGGUUGGCUGUACCUAGCGGAGAUGUGGCGGGCAGGACCCUCCAGUGCCUUGGGGAUCCAGCCUCCUACUCAGUGUAUUCAGAAGAUGGAGCACAUUGAAAAGUCAAGAUUAUUCGCCAGCUUUAAGAUUUAAUAUUUGCUCUGUUGUGUUUUGGAUUUGAUUGGGACCUGUUAACAUCUUCUUUCUUAUUUCUUUCUCCCUUUUGGAAUCAAAAUAUCUGUCCUGUGCCUGUUGCUCUGUUGAAUUUGGAAGAAUACAACUUGCUUGAUUUCACAGAUUCACAGCUGGAGGACAUUUUGCCUCUGGAUGAAAUAUUCCUUUGAGUCUCACUGAUACCAGAUUUGGAUGAUACUUAGAUGAAACUAUGAACUUUAAAAUUUGAUUUGGUGGGCUGGGGUUGUGGCUCAAGGGUAGAGCACCUGCCUAGCAUAUGUGAGGCACUGGGUUCGAGCCUCGGCACCACAUAAAAAUAAAUAAAUAAAUAGAAAAAUUUUAAAAAGUAUUGUGUUUAACUAAAUAUUUAAAAAAAUUGAGUUGGCGCUGGGUGAGAUAAAACUUGGUGCUAUUAAGAUGGAAGGGAAUGUAUUUUAUCUGUGAGAAAGACAUGUAUUUUGGGGGAGGGUCCACAUACUAGGUUUGAAUGCUUACAUCCCUUCCAAAAUUCACAUUAAGAUGUAAUUACCAAUUCAACAGUAUUAAGAGGUGUGGCCUUUGGGAGGUGAAGGGUCAUGAAUAGAUUAGUGCUCAUAUCAAAGGGUUGGAGAGAACUAGGUGGGGUCUUCUUUUUGCCCUGCUGCCUUUUGCCAUGGGAAGACUCAAGGAUUCCAAAGAGGGCUCUCGUCGUUAAUUGUGUGCCUCUUGAUAUUGGACUUCCAAGCUUACAGAACUGUGAGAAAUAAAUUUCUGUUCAUUAUAUAUCACCCAGACUCAGGUAUGUUGUUAUAGCAGCGUGGAGAGACUAAGACAUACAUACACAUGUGCGUAUUUUGUAUGUAUUAGCCAGAUAUUUGGAAUCACUACUGUUGUCUGGUUUUAGAAUGAUUUCAUGACCUCAAAAUGACACCCUCUAUCUUUAGCUAUCAGUGCCCCCUACCCGCUGAUUCACCCCACCCAACCCCACCGAACUCUACUUCUGUCUACACAGAUUUCCUUGUCUAGAGUACUUUAUACAAAAGUAAUCAUCUGUGGUGUUCGUGACUGGCUUUUUUUGUACAGCAUGGUGUUUUCCAGGUUCAUCCAUGUUGUAGCAUUUUUUUUUACACUUCAUACCCUUUUAUUAUCAAAUAAUAUUCCAUUGAAUAUGUACAACACUUUUUGUUUAUCCAUUCUAUUGUUGAUGGGUAUUUAGCUUGUUUAUACUUCUCAGCUAUUGUGAAUAGUGCUUUUAUGCUUACUGUUGUACAGGUUAUCUUUCUGAGUACUUACUUUUGCCCCCUCUUCCCCAUAUAUUUAGAUGUGAUGUUGGAUUAUAUGGUAAUUCUGUGCUUAUCUUUUUAAGGAAUUGCCAAACUCUUCCACAGUGGCUGCUCCAUUUUACAUUCUCAUCAAGAAUGUAAAAUGUAGUGUCUGAUGGGCCCAAUUUCUCCACUUAUUUUCUGUUGUUAUUCUUACUAUGGUCAUCCUUAGUAAGGUACCAUUCUUACUAUGGUACCUCAUUGUGGUCUGGAUUUGCAUUUUGGUUUUGAGUUGUAGGGAUUUUUUUUACCCCACAUAUUCUGGAUACUAAUCUCUUAUCAAAUUUGAUUUGCAAGUAUUAUGUCCCUUUUUAUUGGUUAUCUUCUGACUGUAUUGGUGGUGUCCCAUGAUGCAUGAAAAUUUUAUUUCUUUUGGAUGAAUUUCAAUUUAAUUUUACUCUUUUUGUUGCCUGUGCUUUUGGGGUGAUAUUUGAGGCGUCAUUGUCAAAUUCUAAGUCAUAAAGAUUUCCUCCUCCUUUUUUUUUUUUUUUAAUUGAGAAAAGAUGAUUUUACUUCUUCCUGUCAGUUUGGAUGGCUUUUAUUUUUAUUUAUUUAUUUAUUUUUUUUGCUUAAUUGCUCUAGCUAGGACUUCCCUGUGCUGAAUGGAAGUGGCAAAAGUAAAAACCCUGUAUUGUUCACAAUCUUGGGCGAGUACCUUUUACUUCUUUCACUGUUGAGUAUGAGCUUCGCUGAGAGAUUUUUAGCAUGCCCAGCACCCUUUGGGUUACUAGGUACUCAGUUCCCUUUCCCUGGGGGAGUUUUUUUAUUUGUUUGUUUUAAAGAAAAUUCUGUGUUCUUUGACAACCCUGGAACUCUUGAAUUGAGAAUGGUCUUAAACCAGAACUACAAGCUGGCUGGUAAGUUUGGGAACAUAGGUGAUAUUAUUUUGUACUAUAUUGUAAGUAAUGUCAGUUCUCCUUUGUUUCCAGAUGUGGUGGCCAUUUUGUGGUUCUGAGUGUGGUAGAAAAGGCUUUAGAUUUAAGAGACAGGAAGUAGAUAUUGUACCACAAUUCCACAACUCUUUUGUGUGUGUGUGCAAUAUAUACACAUAAAUAUACACAGGAUAUAUAUAUAUAUAUAUAUAUAUAUAUAUAUAUAUAUAUAUAUAUAUACACAUAUAUAUAUAUAUAUAUAUAUAUAUAUAUAUAUGUGUGUGUGUGUGUGUGUGUGUGUGUAUGUGUGUGUUUGGUCCUAGCGUUCAUAUCCAGGACCACUCAUGUGCCAGGUGUACCAUUGAGCUAUACCCCAGCCCUGUUGCUUCUUGUUUUUUUCAGAGCAAUUGAGACUGAAGGAAUGGUGACUGUGGUUGAGUGAAUUUACCUGAAUAGAUCCACGUCUCUCUUGUGAUUUCCCAUAGUCACUUUGAUUUGGUACCAGGUUUAGGGUACACAAGGCAUUCAAGUUAGGUCCACUUUGUAAUACCUUCUCAGGGUCAGUUUUGGCCUCCCAGAGGGAGAACAUUUUACUCUUGCAGCAUACUGACUGCUCAGGGGUAGACAUGAGAGGUGUGAGCAAGGCCUUGCCCCAUUUGGAAGAGUACAUCUCACAUUCUUAGGUCAGAAAUAGAUCCUCUUUCAAGUGUUGUGUCCAGCCACGAACAAAGGGGGGGCCUCGUGCUGGAGCUGCGGAGGCCUGGGACACACUGUCGCUCUCUAUAGCCCCUCGGAUCAUUCCUUCUCGGCAGCGGACUAUGGUCUUUUAAAACAUCAAACAGUUUGAACAGAAGACACAGAUAGCUGGCGUCAGGAUAAGUGGAGAACAGUUGUUCUUUCUGUGGUUGGGAGGACCUAAACUUGGGCACUGAUGUGUGCUGUUCACUUUUGGUCCCUGUUCUCACACAGAGAGAGGGAAGAUGGGGAGUUUCUGGCCACCUGUGAGUGUUGGCAGCCCCGAGGAGGCAGUCCGUCAUGCGUCUGCACUUCACCGGGGCCAGGCCUCGAACUCUGCCGGGAAACUGGAAAUACUGGACGUGUGACAUUUUCUUUCUGUCUCUCCCCAUUGGUGUGGCUUAUUCAGGAGGCAUUGGAAGAACAUUCUAAAUGACAGAGUUAUGCAUCUUGCCAUAAUCAACAAGCAGGAUAAGCCUUUAGGGACUAUAGCUGAGCCACUUUUCCAAGGCUCUGACCCUCCUGGGGCCCCUAUUAGUCCCUUGAGAAGCAGAAUGGAAUGCCCUGCCCUGCCCUGCCCUGCCCUGCCUUGCCCUGCCAGGCUGUGUGCAGCUUGCUGCACUGCACGUGGUCUGGCUAGGGAUAAUGAUGUGUGGCCAGGUCUCAGGUGAAAAGUUCUGGAAGUCAAUUUUAUUUUUAAGAAAAACUAUUUAAAUGAAGAAGUCUCCAUGGGUUCUUAUUGCACAAAAGCUAGGAGUUUCCCUGAAGAAUUCUAUUGAGAAGCAGUGCAGUGUCCAGGGGGUGGUGGAUGAUCCCAUGUACAUUGAAGUCUUGGGUGCUGGGUGAGGUCAUGAUUCCCAGGGGAGCAACCCCAGGUGUGCAGGGCUGUAGAGGCAAAGGACGUUGUAUCAGAAGCAUCAGUUCUUAAUCUGUUUUGGUCCCAGGGCCCUUUAAUACUCUUAAAAAUGACUGAAGACCACAAAGAGCUUGUGGUUAAAUGACUAUAUAUACUUACAUUUAACAUUUAAAAAUUACAGCAGAAAUUUUUUUUUAAAAAACCCUUCCAUUUAAAAACAACAAAAAACAAAACCAUCAUCUGUAAAUAUGAAUAACAUCUUUUUUGGAAGAAUAGCCAUAUUUUUGAAAAAGAAAAAAGAACAAAAAGAGCGGCAUUAUUUAAAAAUUUUGAAAAUUCCUUUAAUGUCUGGUUUCAAAGAAGGCAGCUGGAUUUUCCUGUUUGGGUCUGUAGUCACAUGUCCUGUGGUCUCCAGAAAAUUCCAACCUACACUUAUGAGAGAAUGAGAAGGAAAAGGAGAGAUCACAUCUUAGAGUUUUGAAGAUAGUUUUUGGCCUCUCUGAUCCUGGAGGUUCUGCCCCAGGGUUGGAGAUCCAUCAUCACUAGGCUUCAUAUGACAUGUGGGAGUAGAGCAUCAGUCUGAAAGUCCAGGGGUUACUCUGAAGCCCUGGCCCUUGCUGUGAAGAUGGAGUGUCAGACCCAUUGGUUCCUUGGUGGAUCUCUGUUUAUUAUGUCAACUUCAGACUCAGCGACUUAAACCUCAGGGAUCCGGGGGGACACUUGGUCCAUAACUCUUAAGCACCAAAUUAGGGGAGCACUGGAACAUGACUUAACAUAAUUAAGAGUGCUUUGGAACAAAAAAGAGCUAAUCAUACUCAGCAAUGACCUGCACAGUUUGAACAGGUAGCCCAUUUUAUCUUACAUGUAAAAGGAGGGUUUUGGUGAGCUGAGAAAUGAGGGUAGGGUGUUGCAGAAAAAGCAGAGGGUCCUGACUCCUUUCUUCCUCUCCUGCCCUUGCCCAUGUGACACUUGGAUGUGCUGUGCUGUGCCCCAUCAAAAGGCCUUGUGAGCCUGGCUGGCACCUGAAGCUGGGAGGUCAAAAGCUAAAGGUCCCCUUCCAGACCCCUGAGGACAAGCUCAUCUAGAAUGUGUUUGAACAUUAGCAAGUAGUUUUUGCAGAACUGAUAAAAGCGAUGGUUGAUCAUGCAUGGUACGAGUUGUUUGUCUUUCCACAUUCUCAUUCCUAGGUCUUGAACAAUGAUAAGAUUUGGCCAUACUCCUGACAUCUUGAACCCGUAGACCUACAGAAACAAGGUUAGGGACCAGAUUGGAGAUGGCUGUGUAACUGAUGGUACUAAGAUUGAGAACAUAGAAAGCACUUUAAAAGUGUUUGUUGAGUGAAUUAAUGAAAGAAAUAAUGAAAGAAAGAAUAAUGAAUUUCAGGACUUAAGGUGAUCAGGUAAAGGGUUAAGGAAGAUUGUUAGAGAAGUUAAAACAAACCACACAGCAGAUGGCCAUGAGUCCAAGGUUUAAGAGAACUGGAAAAGUGAUGAAAGCGUCCUUACUGGUAUAGAAAUAAUAUUUUCUUCCUUUAGGGCAAUUGAUUCUAAAUUGAGAGUCAUGAAAAUAGAAAGAUGUCACAACACAAGCCUUUACCUUUUCUACCUAAAUUACCAGAGCCAGGUAAAACCAGAAAUAAGUGCAGGAUCUGCUAUUUCAGCUUCCCACGUUGGUUUCCCUAAAUUGUGACAUUGUUGGUUGUGUAGUUCAUUUAGUCCAAAAGAAAAGAGCCAAAGCAUUGCUACAUGUCUGCCACUUUCAUUCCACAGUCCAUCUCUACAUCCUGGGAGCUGGUGCCAGGUGGAGAGCAACUGUAGGGUUGAGCUAUCAGCGAUGGCAUGUGGUUGGGGGUGUUGGGAUUUGAGAAGUCCCAGCUGGGGCAGCACUAUAGGCUACUGUGUAGAUAUUUUUGGACACAGAUCACUUCCCUACAAGUGGGAAAAGCUCUGUCUCAGAACCCCGAGAUAGGAAGCAGAUGAGCACCCCAGGCCCUCUGCACACGUGAGAAUUUGUGGUUUGUAGAACAUGAUGUGGUUUCUUUUGCUCACUCAGUUUGGACUCUCCCAAGUCUAACCAGGCAGAACAGGCUCACUGUUCUCAUAAUACAGGACCCAGAUAUCACUUUUGUAAUGGGUUAAUCAGUCACUGAAAGGGCUAGGUAGUCCAGUAUUUCUGAACCAUAGGGUCUCCCACUUCAUAGGACUGGGCUGCCGGAUAGUGGGGACUCAGCUGCUGCAGUGGUUUAACUGGGGACAAAGAGUAUCAAGUACAACAGAAUCAUUUACAGUCUUUUUAAAAACUAUGGAUAAAUUUUAGAAAAGUAAUAAAAAGAUUGCAUUGUUAAAUAAAGUCACUUUAAAUUUUUAUUAGGUCCAUACCCUAUAUCUUAUCAUACCUGCCUAGUGCAAUAGUAAUUCAUUUCAAAGCCAUUUAUAAUUACUUUCUUAUCAUUCUUAUUUGGAUGAACCAUGUAUUUCUAGUAUUCUGCUAAAAUGUUGAUUUUUCUGAGCUGAAGGAUCGAUUUUUCUUACAUAUGAAUGUAUAUACUUUAUCCUGAAAAGCGAUGGCUGUUUGUAGUUAUUUAAUGAAUAUAAAGAAUGAUAACUGAGAAUGCAAAGAUGUGAUUAACUUUAAAAUCUGAAGUUCUGGUCCUAGAAGUGAUGCAUAUUUGGACUUUGGGGUUUACAGGGUAACUUGGCCAGUUUUGAUAACAGGCUUCUUUUGGUGUGCUGAUAAAGCAUCUGAACAACAUUGACUCCACUUCUCAAGAGAGCUGUUCAUGGAGGAGGGCAAAAUCUUAUCUGUUUGCUAUGCCUGCUUCGCUCAAAACUUCCUGCUUGAAUAAUGUUAAUGAUUGCAUUAUAAUUUAUCUACAAGCAGUAGUGUAUUUCUUCUUUACUUUCCAAGUAUGCACAUCUGUCUUUGUCUUGUUUUAAACCCCUUAAGAGAAGAAAGACGAGGAACAACAAAGAAAGGAAGGAAGGAAAAGACAAGAAAAACAGAAGGCCAAGUCCUUCUGCACUUCUGGAAGCAGCCUGUACAGAGAAGGGUCUGCGCAGUUAAUGUUCAUGUGACUAAGCCUGAUGCACUUAAUAGGCUCAUUGUGUUUAGGUAUAGAGCAGGAAUUUCUCUGGAAUCCCUAGAAAGGGAGGGAGAGCUGGCCUAGGGUAGAGGGAGAAUCACGGGAACUCUGCAUGUAGAUUUUGGGGUGAGGGCUGGGAGAAGCAAACAGGAUCUUUGGUUCAGAACUUGACUAAAGCACUUUUUACAUAGAUUUCGAUUUGACGAGUAAUUUGAGAUCCUUAUUUAAAAAAUUCAAACCUAGAGUGCAGAGUGAGAGAUUGCCACUUCCCGCCUCUUGUCUGUACCAUGUGGCAGCCCUCUGUGGGGGUGGGAGUUGUUCUGGGUUCUUCAGCUUUUCCUUGUGUAGAAUCACGACACAUGUAGGCUUGUCACGUGUAUCUUUUCACAGCACCAACUCCUUAUUCUACUCCUUCGCUUUUUUUUUUUUGCCUCCUUCCUCACAUAGUUAAACUUCUGUGAAUCCUGUGCAAAGCCUUUUGUAGAAAUUACUGUCUUUUUGUUCUUACAUGAGGCUGGGAUUGUGGUCCUCAUUUUACAGGUUAAGGAGAAAAAUAGAGGCACUGAGAGACUAAAUCCUUGCUAUGUCUGCUUUUUUUCCUGGAGCUGGCAGAAGCUGGAUUCUGAACCACUUUGAAACUGCCUGCCACAGACCAGAGACUCAUUUCUAUGGGAGCUCUUUUAAAAGGCUAUUGCAUGUUUUUUUAAAAAUUUUGUUUUUUCUUGUGGGGAUUGAACCCAGGGGCACUCUACCACUGAGGUACAUACCAGGCCUUUUUUUUUUUCUCUUUUCUUCUUCCCCCCCCCCACUGAUUUUGAGAUAGGUUCUCGCAAAAUUGCCCAGGCUGGCCUCAAACUUGCAAUCUUCUUGCCUCAGCCUCACAAAUCACUAGGAUAAAAGGUGUGCGCUGCAUACUUUUUGUGGCCACUGCAUACUUUUUUUUGAUGCCUAGCAUUCUGGAGGAUUGCUUUACUCUUUUUAAGUAGGUGCCUAUCGGGGCAUUUUUCAUUUGUUCACCAAAGAUUUGAGCUGCUUGAUCUUGUGCUGAGUGUCAAGGAUACAGCAGUGACUGGGACAGAGGGGUCCCAAGCUUCAGAGUUUGUUCUCCGAGGAGAAAUCACUGCAAAACAAGUAGGCAGGAAGAAACAGCAACAACGAACCUGUUGUGUUCUGAAGAAGAGGAAGUCAAUUGACUGAGCUACAGAAUCACUGUGGACUUACUUGUACGUGAGUACACAGAGCAGCCAGAUCUCACAGGGACGGGACAGAAUAGAUGGGAGUCUGGUUUCUACAGUGGGGCUGUAGACAGGAAGGUGGAAGGAGGUUGGAGGCUUGAAUAUUUGGGAGAAUUCCAGAUAGAGAACAGAAAACAUGCCUAGCCUCUGAGGGAAAAGUGUGACUGGUGGAUAAGGUGAAUUAAUCAUGGGACACUGGUUUCUGGGUAGUCUGAGGGGAGUCAGGAGCCCUUGGAUCAUGCAUGGCAGCUGGUUUUGAGUGUUUGAAUGAAUUUAGAGUGUAGCAAGUGUUGUAGGUUGAAUGUGUCCCCCUAAAUUUCAUGUGUUGGGAACUGAAUCCCUAAAUUCAUAUAUUAAUGGUAUUUAGAAGUGGGUCUUUUGGAAGCAAUCAAAAUUAGAUGAGGUCAUGAUGGUGGAGCCGCCAUGAUGGAAUUAGUGACUUUGUAAGAAGAAAAAGACCUGAGCUGGUAUGCUUGCUCUGGCCAUUGAUUGUUGAGUGAGAGGCACUUUUAGGAUCAGAUUCCUACAUUGGGGUACCUUUAAAUUAUCUUUUCUCUUGUUUUAGCUAAAACUUUUUGGAGAAACUUAGAGAGUCAGCCAUGAUCUCCAAAAUCUUAAAGACACUCUUAAGUUUUUUUUUUUUUUUUUCCUUCUUAACUUCCUAGCAAACACAUGGCUUGUUAUGGUAUUGAACUUAACAUGCCCAGAAAUUUUUUUUUUUAGAGAGAGAGAGAGAGAGAGAGAUAAUAUUUAUUUUUUUAUUUUUCGGUGGACACAACAUCUUUAUUUUAUUUUUAUAUGUGGUGCUGAGGAUCGAACCCAGCACCCUGCGCAUGCCAGGCGAGUGCGUUACCGCUUGAGCCACAUCCCCAGCCAAUGCCCAGAAAUUUUUAUGUCUGUCAUUUUUCUGACCCUGAACUGAGCAUGCCCAGAAUCAUCCAUGUUGGCCACCCUACAUUUUUUUGUCCACCAUUUUAAGUUUUUACUUUGUCCUCUAUAACCUUGACCUGAGGUGAGCAUGCUUAGGAAUGCACCCGCCAUCUUUUCUUCUUGAACUGUGACGCUGAUAAGAGCAUGAGCAGAAGUGGACAUUCUAAACUGUGCAUGCUCAGGAAUGCAUCUCCCCCUAAAAUGAAUAUAUAUAGAUUGCCAAAUCAAAUCACCAAGGUUCCUUUAAUCUGGGAGAACAUUGCUUUGCGGACAACUCUGGUGCUCUCUUUACAUGCUAUGGUUAAUAUUUCUCCAUUCUUUUAUCUUCUGGUUGUGCUCUUUGUGUUUUCACUGACCAAGAAGCAAAUCUUCUAUGUUUGGUCACUUCAACAUGUGAUGUUGUCCACUAUGUGGUAAUGCAUCAGGAAGGCCCUCACCAGAUGUCCAGCAUAUGCUGGUGCCUUGCUCUUGGACUUCUCAGCUUCCAACUUCUGUGUAAAUUACACAGUCUCGGGUAUUUUGUUAUAUAAGACAAAAAUGGAUGAAGAUAGAAAAUUGGUACCGAGAAGUAGGCCCUUGCUGUAACAAAUACCUGAAAGUGUUGAAACAGCUUUGGAAAUGGGUAAUGAGUAGAGGCUGGAAGAAUCUAGAAAAUCAGGCUAGAAAAAUCCUGUUUUGCCAUGAAUGGAGCAAUAAGAAUGAUUCUGGUGAGGACUCAGGAGGUGAGCAGUUGAGAAAAAAUCUGGAACUUCUCAAAUAUUACUUAAGUGGUUAUGAUCAGAAUGUUGAUAGAGAUGUUAGAGAAAGGCAUUCAGAUUCGGUCUCAGACAAAAAUGAGGAGGAGUGUGGAGGAUACUAGAGUGAAGGCCAUUACUUCUAAUAGUGGCGAACAGCUUUGCAGAAUUGUGACUAUGUCCCAGGACUUUGUAAAAUGUAGAACUUUGGAGCAAUGAAUUAGGAUAUCUGGUGAAAGAAAUUUCUAAGCAGCAAAGACGUCAAGCUGCUGCGUGCCUACUUUUGACUGCUUACAGUGAAAUGAGAGAGCAAAGAGAUGACUUCAACAUAGAAUUUAUAAUUAAGGACAUGGGAAAGGGUGGAAAGAUUUGCAAAAUUCUUAGCUUGCGCAUGUGGCAGAGAAUGACAGCAUUUUUAUAAGAGAAAAUCUAAGGUGUGGCUAAGUGAUCUUUUGCUUAAGAGAUUAAUAGGGAGAGAAGGAAGCAAGGUGCUAUUUAGCAAGACAUUGGGAGAAGGACCCAGAAAGCAACCUAGAGAUUUUCAAGUUUGUGCCUCCCAGAGAUCUAAGAGGCCUGAAUGGUUUCUGGGGAUGAGCCUGGGACAUUCUCCAAGGGCUUACUGCACAGAACCACCUGAGUCUGCACUGCUGCUGCUCUCAGCAUUUUGGUACAGUGCUCCAUGGUGUCUCCAGCUAUGAAUUAGGUGGCCCCAGGCAUGGCUAAACCUGCUGCUCUGGAGGGAAAAAAUCUGUAAAUGAUGGCCAGGUCACAUGGUAUUAAUUCUUCAGAAAAACAGAAUGUAAGGUCUCCGGGGCACGGCUACUUAGAUAUCCUCAGAGCAUGCCCCCCUAGAUUAUAAAGGCUGUUGUGGAUGGCCAUGGACCAGGCAGAGACUUGUUGCACACAGUCCCCACUAGGGCAGUGUCUGUGGGAAUUGGACCACUACCAAGACCCUAGAGUUUUAGAAUUAUGAGUGUGGGCUGGAGCUGGGAGAUCUGCAGUCAUGAGACUCCAACCUGAGAGAGCUGAUACAUGGUCUGCACCCAUCAAAGCUGUGGGGUUAUGGCUGUCCAAGGCCUUGGGGGCCUGCCUCUGUAUUAGAUGUAUCCAUGAAGUGGGAUAUGGAGUUAAGGAAUUUUUUUCUGGAGCUUUGAGAUUUAAUGGUGUUUACCCUGUUAGGUUUUGGAUUUUCUUGGGACCUAUUACUCCUUUCUUCUUGCUUAUUUCUCCCCUUCAGAAUGAAAAUGUCUGUCAUAUGCCUGUCUCACCAUUAUGGUCUGGAAGUAGACGACUUGUUUCAAUUUCACAGAUUCACAGAAGGAGGGAAUUUACCAUAGAAUGAGUAGUGCUGUGAAUCUCACCCAUCACUGAUUCACGUGAGACUCUGGACUUUGGACUUUUGAGUUGAUGCUGGAAGGAGCUGAAAUUUUCUAGCUGUGGGGGUGGAAUGAAUGUAUUUUGCAUGUGAGAAGGAUCUGAAUUUUAGGGGCUAGGGAAGAAUGCUAUGGUUUGAAGGUUUGCCCCCAAAUUUCAUCUGUUGGAAAUAAUCCUUCCAUCCAUACAUUAAGUUACCUGGUCUCAAGUAUUUUGUUAGAGCAACAAAAAUGGAUUUUCAUGGCAUGUAACCAUUGCUAAGUCAUAGGCCUUGUGGAGUUGGAGAAUGGUGGGUGGGCACAGAGAAGGUACUGGGAGAUGAUGAGGCAGUGUUCAUGUCAGGGAGAGGUGGCUGCCACUGAGAUGGAAGGAAGUGGGUGGCUUUCAUUUGCUUCUACAACCAAAGCUAAUCCAAAGGCUGGUGGAUUGUGUGGAAAAAAGGUAUGAGAGAAAGUUGUAAAUGGAACUGUUACUGUUGGUUUUACUUGAGUCUAAAAUUGAGACGUAGGUGGAGCCUGGGCUCGUCUAUACUUUUAGGUUAGGUUUUGUUGGUUUCAGUGAUGGCGGCCAGUUCCAAAGGUCUUUCUGUUGUGUCAGCAUCUGUCCCAUGGCCAGGUGCACCAUCUCUAUGGACCUCUCUUGGUGUCUGCUGGUGGAUGAGUCACUGAAGGAAGGACCCUUGUGGGGUUGGACAAGAUGAAAAGGGCUAUAACAGCUAAGUUGUUGCUUAAGUUUUCUGUGUGUUUGAAUUUGAAUGUCUGACGUUGGCAGUUAGGUGAAAAACGUCCUGCAUUUUAACUUACUUCCUCUGCUGUAUUCCUUUGUCCUCAUGUUCUGAGGAGUUACAGCAUUUAGACUGUGCACUGUCUGAAGGUGCCCCCAAUACAAGUGGCGUGAAGUGUGGCCUUUUUGUAUUUAAUGUUUUUGUUUUUUUCUUCUUUUGGCAGUGCUGGGGGUUGAAUUUAUGGCCUUGAACAUACUAGGCAAGUCCUCUUCCACUGAGCUACACCCAACCCCUGUAUUUAAUUAUUGAUUUACUUUUAAGCUGUCUACAAGUUUUAGCAACAGCAUUCUGAAAUUCUAUAAUUACUUUUUAUAGGAAUUAGCCUUUUCUUCAAUUUCAUUUUAUUCAUGUAUUUCUUAAUUUGUCCUCAUAAAUGCCUUCUUACUUAGUGAAAACACAGUCGUCUCUGAUAUCAGUCCAAUAUGGAAUUUAAUUUUUGUAAAUUAAAGGUAUUCUGUUGCCUUUUGAGAAAGCCUAGACUUCACUCCAGAGCUGUCUGGCAAAGAGGCUGAAAGUCUUUGUGGUGAAAGUUGUGAUUUGUUGGGUGUCUAAAUAGUCACUGUUAUUACUCUAAAUAUUUAGUGUGAGAAAGCUAGACAGAAGGAAAACUUUAUAGGAAUUUUUGGAAGAUAUCAAAGAUCCUCGACAGGAAUCAAGAGGCAUUUUGUUCCUGAAAUAUUUUAGAAGUAAAUAAAACAUUUAUUUUUGCCCAGGUUAGUAUAUUCUUUAAUAGGAUCUUAAGUUUUUGUCACGUCUGACUGGAAAACUGCAAGAGAAGCACUCUCUUUACUGAUCGGGGAAAUAGACAGAAGUGAGUUCCAUCUGGACUCUUUAGGUGCCUGUCCUGUGGUCAAGGUCAGCGUGUGAAACGUGCUGAUCUGUGUUCUGGGUGUUUUCCUGCUGGGUGUAGGUGCUGAUGAACUGUCCUGAACAGUGCUCAGAGGUUGUGUUUGCAGCGGGCUCUUUGAUGGCAACCAGUCAGCACUGAGGUUAUUGUCAAGGGAUGUAUCUUAGUCACUCUGUUCAGUUUGUCAAAUUCAAAAUUCCUAUUGUCUUUGAAAAUUGAAGUUUCUUAUCAACUUUCUUGAAAAUAGACAAAAAUGGUUGAAGUAGUGAUGAGCUUGACAGGACAACUCUAUUUCCUUUUACCUUAAUUAUAAAUCAAUUUCUUGUGCCCAACCACAAUUAAAAAAAACAGAUCUCCUAAGCAUAUGUUCUGAUUUUUGAAGGCAUAUGCUUGGCAGAUGCAUUGGGAAGUGGUCCUGGGGCAUUCGGAUCAGAAUUCAGGAAAAGAUUAGGUUCCCUGGAGAUGGAAGCCCCUCAGGAUAUAAGGAUUAUAAGUGAUUCAUAAGCUGUCAUUAUGGUGACCCAAAGUCCAUUUCCCAAUGUUCUGGCCCACUGCCAUUUCAAAAAAACCAUUUGUUUUUUUUUACUGUGUACCUUGCUUUUUUACCUUCCUUUCCCACCCCCCACCCCCCAAAUUUUAUUCCACUAGCUACUUGAAUUUUAACAUGUUCAGGAUGACAUCAUCAUUGUGAUACUUUUCAAAUAUUCUAAUUCUUUUUUUUAAAGGAUUAAAGUAGGUACCCUUAAUAAAUUACCUUGAAGUAUACAUAUGGUAGUCAAAUGGUCUUGAAUUUCCCAUUUGGGUCCUGAAGAGAUCAAGAUCCUCUUUAAACAUCAAGCUUGCAGUUUGCAGGUGUUUAACUUUGUAUCUGAUUAUGAGGAAAUUGUUUGGCAUGUUAUAGGUCAUGAUAACUAGUAUUUGUUUAGUGUUUACUGGAUGUUGGAUCUUGUCCUAAGUCUUUAUGUGCAUUAACUCAUUUAUUUCUUGUCAAGGUUGUACAAGGGAGGUACUGUUUUUUUUUUGGUUUGUUUUGUAACUGGGGACACUGAGGCUCAAUGAGUUUAAUAAUUUGCCCAAAUAUCACCUGCUGUGUCAGGAGAUAAACCAAGGCUGUCUGGUUUUCAAGGUUGAGUUCUUAGACAGGGUGCCUUUCAGGACACACCAAAAUGGCUGUAUUUGCAGAUUGUUUAUCAGGAUUCUGAGCUCAGGACUUCUUCCAUGACAGGUAGGAGGCUGGUAGGCUUUGUUUUCACCCUUUAAUGUUAGGGAAAUCUAGUUGUUCUUCAUUGAGUGACCUGUUCAGAGCACACCCAUGUCACAAGUGUACCAGAUAGGGCGGGAGACACCCAAAACAGCAACAACCAUAAUAAAGUCUCCUUUUUUUACGCCCUUGCUCUGUGUUAAUCACUCUUGUAAGUCAUUUAGGAGUAUGUUCCAUCCAGCAAUAUUACACAGUGGCACCCCAGUGCAAUAUACUAAAAUCCCCGAUGAUGUGGGUUUUAUCCCUAGUGCCCUACUGAAGAGCCAGGGUUUGGGAAGGUGAAUGAAUCGCCCAGUUCACUACAAAGCUUCCUCCUGAAGGACAAGGGUUUCUCACCACCCUCUCCAUGACUGGAACAGUACCUUGGACUGCCAGGGCAUAGAACUUAAGUAAAUGAAUCAAAGUCGAUGGGAAGGGGUAGGAGCCAAGCUGCAGGCCUGCCUCCCUCUGCUGUGGGGAAUCUGUGUGCAUUGUUCUCUGCUCAGUGACCCUAUGUGGAGAUUGGUGUGGGGUUUCAUGGGCUGGUGUCUGGUCUGAGGUGGAGACAAGUCUCCGUGGGGUUGGUGGAGGGUAUGGGUUUAUCUGGGAGAAUCCCUUGAAGGAUGUGGUCUUUGACCUGGGCUUGAGACUUCUAGGUCAACUUCAUCUUGAGUCUUUCCUUUGAUCUUCUGGUGUCUUGGUGGAAGUGGCCACUAGAAACCUACUUUUCGUGGACUCGCUUUCUUGUUUUGUUCUUGGGAAGAGUCUUUUAAACCAUUUCCUUGAAAAAAAAAAAAUUUCAGUCCCGGGUAUCCGUGUGAAGUGCACAUUUAUGUCUUAAAAGUUUGAUCCAAGUUCAGUGAUGGUCUCUUUGACUUUUCAGCUUUGGUGCUGACAGCGAUGCUGAGUGGGAGGAGACAGCCCUGGGGAGCAGCGACCCAGUGACUGGAGGGGUUCUCACCUCUGUUGUCAGUGAAUCCUGGUUGGCCUCCCAGGCAGUCAGAGCCGCUGAGCCAGCUGCUGACAGGUAAGUCCUGGGUGUUUUCAGCUACAGAUAGUGCCUUUCUUUGCAGGAGAGUUGUCUGUUAAAUAUUGAUCAAGGCAAGGUCAAUAAAUGCAUGUCACUAUAGACAAAGACUAACACUAGCUCCUUUAUUCUAGGGUUCCCAAGGGCGUUUCCUUGCCUGUCUGUUCUUUCUCUUGCUCCUCUUUGGCUCCGUUGUGCUUGGGAACACUGAGCUGGGAUGGGUGUGUUGGGAGAGCUGGGCCAAUUGAUCUUGCAGGUCCCUUCUGCCCUUCCAUGAGGUUGGGGUAUCAGUGCUGCCUCCUGGGUUGUUCUGGGCAACUUGUCACACUGUGGGCCUUCAGAGUUGGUAGCUGUUGUUUGUAAAGGUGGGCUACCACAAAUUGGGCUGGGGUGGAGGGCAUCUUGACCUCUGACUUGUUUCCCACAAGGUGUGUGUAGGUCUGCUGUGAUCUUGAGUGGGCAUGGGCUUCACUGACUGAGCUGAGAGGACCUGGGAUCCAGGGCAGGACAUCUGACCUGCAUGCUCUUGUUUCUUCCCAUUGUUCACCAAGAUAGAUGUUACGAUUGGGUUCUCUGAGGAUGAGUCCAAGAGAAAAAGUCUAAAACUUCUGUUUUUGUUUGAUUUGUUACAUGACUUCACAUUGCACCCCAAGUCCUUGCCAGACAGGUACUAAAACCUAAUCUGAUGGAGAUGUUGAUAGUAGCAUGGGUGGUACUCUCUAGGUUCUAUGCUCUGGAAUGUACGUUCUCUCUAAGACAGUGCCAACCCCACCAGGGCCACUGGCAUCCCUGAUAAGCCUCUGCACUAAAAAAACUGACCCAAAGCUAGAUGCAGUUAACUUGGGAAUGUUUUAGAAUGUAUUUGAUUGAAAUUGUUAAGAGGAUUAGUUCUCAAUUUCCUAACUUGUUGGUAUUCAUUCCAUAAGUUACCGGUGCACACCCACCUAGUACCAGGUACUGUCCUGUGUGCUGCAAGCACCAUGGGUACUAGAUGGCCAAAGUCCCUGCCUGGAGGGAGUAUAUUUUUAGUAGAAGGAUAUUCUGUCAAGAGCUUGUGUUCUGUUUCACCUAAAAGUUGAAGCCCAAUUCCUUAGAUUAUUAGAAGGAUGAUACAAAACAAGAGGGUGUGAGAGGAACCAGCUUUUGUCAGAGCACCUUAUGGUUUGCAGAGUGUCUCAGCUAAAGGCACCCAGGCCUGGGUGUAGACGAAGCUAUAGGUGGGAAUCAGGGACCCUAUGUGAUGGAGCCUCACAGGAUAGAUUAUGAGGGGGUUAGGCGGGUAUCAGGAUAGGCCUUGCUUUUUUCUUCAGUGUUCACUGCAUCUCAAGAGCCAUCCCUGUUUAUUUGUGGUCAUAGUGAGGAGAGAAGAAAGGGUUAGUCAUCCAGUUUUAUCUGGAUUUUACAUUCCAUGUUUUCAUUUACAUGUGGUCAAGUGUAACCUGAAGUCACAGUUAUGGUACAGUAAGAUAUUUUGAAAGAGAGACUACAUUCACAUAGCUUUUAUUAUCUUAUCAUAAUUGUUGUUUUAUUAUUAGUUAUUAUGAUUAAUCUCCUACUGUGCUUAAUUUAUAAAUUAAGCUUUAUCAUGGGUGGUAUAUAUGUGUAGGAAAAAACAUGGUAUUAUAUUGUUCAGUACUAGCUGCCAUCUCAGGCAUCCACAAGGGGUGGGGAGGGGGUCUUGGAUUAUCCUGCAUGGAUAAUGUAGGACUACUGUGUGAGUGUCUUAAUCAUUCCAUUUUCUUUCUGUUCUCCUACUCUUGGAACUAAAGAGGACCGAGUGUUUGCCUUAAGCCUGUACCUCUUUGGGUCUAGUUUGGCUCUCUUCUAUCUCCAUUUUUGCCUGCUCAUUUUGUUCUUAUUAGAGAAUUUCUAGGAUAAACAGUUGAGUUGGGUUCAGAGCAUGACAUCCUCAAGCUCAGUAUUCAGUGCAGCAGCUUCCCACUAGUGCUACUGCACCUUGAGGAAGACACUCUCCUGUUCCUGGCUGUUGAGGACUGAUCAACCUCCCCAGGGUGCAGCUCUCAGUGGGCUUUUCUCAUAGAAGAGGGUGGUUCUCUGCUUGCUCUGCUUACCCUGGAAGAUUCAAUCGGAGGAGGGCGCAUUAUUGUGGCUACACCCAUUCUUAUUAAGCAGUCAUUUCUCUGCCCGGUUGCAAUGGUUGAUCGUUCUUUCUCAUUUAUGGUAUACUGUAAACCAAAACAUUCUGAGACUCUAACUUAAAAAUGAUAUGACUUCUACCUUUUUCUUUCCUAAGUUGGAAAAUUGCAGCAGCUGUGUCGCACAAUUGGUCGGUAAGGUCAGAUAGUCAUGAUCUGGUCUUUGAGAAACUCUUGUAACACUGUGGUGUUGUAUCUUGCUGCCUUUCAUGACAUCUUGUUGUUUUUGCCUUCUUUAACAGUUAAUACCCCUUAUCCUCUAUUUUUGCAUUUCUUGUUCCCCCAUCUGUUUGUCUACUGUUUGAUCUAUAUGAAAACACUUUCAUAUUCUUUUGUUGGACUUGUGUUAUCCUGUGGAGUUCCCUUAUUGUUUUAUUUUUGCCUUAUUGGGGCACUUAACCCAGUACAUUUUGAUUUGGUGGUUUUGUGUGUGUCCCCUUUCAACACAUUGCACCAGAAAACAUAUCAUAUAUCAUUUGUCUUGCUAUCCCUGUAUAAUGCCUCUUCUGGCAGAAUCUUGAUAAUCACCUGGUUGAAUUGUUGCCUCAGUUGGCUUCUAAUAUGUUGGAGUCUUAACACGUUGUUCACUGAUCCACAGAAUCUAAAAAUCACCAAGAUUAAAGGAAGAAAAAUAAUCUCUUUACUUGUGAGUAACUUAGAGAUGUAGCACAUUAGCUCUUUGUUUCAAGAGUGUUUGUGAUUCUUGUGGAAGCAUUUUUAUGAUGUCUGCUUUAAAAUUCUUGACAGAUAAUUCCAGCCUCUCUGUCUUCUUGGUGUUGGCACUUGAUAAUUGUGUUUUCUCAUUCAAGUUGUCAUUGUCCUCAUUCUUGGUCUGAAAGGUGAUGUUCACUUGUAUUCUAGUCAUUUUGAGUAUUAUUUUGUGUGAAUCUGGAUUCUAUUUAAUCUAGAAGGCAGAUUCACUAUUGACCUGUAGUGUGUAGAUCUGAGUUGGUGUGGGUAUUCUGUUCCUUGCUGGGCAGUGCUAACACCCACGUUAGGGGAUGUGGAGGUGAAGGGCUCACACACACACUGCUUCAACAUUGUAGGAUGCAGGUGGAGACAGAUUACAUGGGAGGUGAGGAGGAAGCAGACGUCAUUUAGUUCUACCUCUGACCACCAUGUUCUCCGCAUGGACCCGGGGUGGGGUUAUAACUUGAGCUCUCUGUUGAACUUUACCUACUUUACCCCUGAGGAGGAGUUGGCUCACUGCCUGCUUCCAAGUGGGAGAUAGAUCUGCUCCCAUUUUGUUAACAGACACCAUGCUUGAAGAUUAGAGUGUGAGUACCUGCUUAUGCAAGCAGCCAGGAAGGGGUAGAAAAUUAGCUUCUUACUUAGCUCCCCCCAGAAACUAGAGUGUCAGGAAACUGUUAGCAUGUGGUUGGGCUUUUCUUGAUCCUUUGGCUGAGGGACAGGCUUUCUUGGAGCUUUUCUGACCUGAGUCUGUUGGCAGUUCUGGGCUGGAGACUAGCACAGUAUCCUGUCUGGGAUUCGAAGAGGAAUAAAGAACGUGGGAACUCACUACCAUAUUCCUCCUGAGGCCCCUUCACAAUCUGACUUCUUUUGGCCACUUUCUUGAGUCUUCCUUGGCUUGUUGUAGGAUUGAUCAUACUUCAUCUUGUUUGGAAUUGGAAGGCUCUACUUUGGAGGUUUGAAGUCUCCUGUUUGAAAGCUUUUAUUCUCUCGUGGCUAUUGAAUGUUAAGGAGAAAGUUAUAAAAGAUAAUUUUAAUUGUCAGGAUCCUACCUAUGAGAGGAAAAAUACUUAUAAAGCAAAAUGGAUGAUUUUUAAAAUUCCAGCAUUUUCCAAAAUUGGAAGGAUUAUGACUCAGUAAUCUUAGUGGUUGAUAACUUGUCAGUCUUCUCUGUCUUUUCAAGUCGUUAGUCUGUCUUUUUGCUAUCAUUCUGAAGAUUCAAAACAAAAACAGUAUUUCUGCCAUUAUUUCUGUCCAUCAGAGUCAGGAAAAGAUCUGAUUGCUGCUCAGGAAAUCAUGGUGCCUUAAUUUUGGUGACUUCCAUUGUAUCUAUAAAAUAAGUUUUUCUCAAGAGUUGAAAUUACAUUAAAAUAUUAGUAUUGGUAAGUUUCUGAUAAUUUGGGGGCAUUGGCGUAUUUAGAGAUAAGGUAGCUGGUAUUAUUUCCUUAAGCUUGAGGUUUUUAAGCAGUGAUGAUGCCAAAGUUACAUUUGAACAUAGUGUUCUGCAAAUCAAAGCAGUUUGUAUGGUAUUUAAGAUAAGUUACAGAGAUCAAAACCCAGCAGUCUCAGCUUAGGCACGAUCUGUGGCGCCUCUGAUGUCACAGAAUGUGGUCUGGUCCUUGGAAUGUUCACAGAUAUUGGGAGUGGUAUGUAGGGAAGUAGAUAAUAAUGCAGAGAAGUACGUGCCACAUGGAGAGAGGGAGGUGCCUGUAGCUAUGGAUAUAGAGUCCAGAUCCGAGUAAUACCAGUGGCAACAAGAACACCAGCUAAAACUCAACACACUUCGUGUGUGCUUUGUAUUGUUCUAAGUGAUCCCAGGGAUGAGCACACUUGGUCUUCAUGGUAGUCAGGGGAAGUAACUAUCCCUCUCUCCAAUUUAAAGGUUGAGGGUAUCAGGGGCUGAGGCUGUGGCUCACCAGUAGAGCGCUCGCCUAGCACGUGCGAGACGCUGGGUUCGAUCCUCAGCACCACAUAAAAAAUAAAAAUAAAGGUAUUGUGUCCAACUACAACUAAAAAAAAUAUUUAAAAAAAAGAUGAGGGUAUCAAGGCACAAAGAAGUUAGAUCCAUAUUUGUGAAUUUGCCUAUUUGCUAAAACUUUUUUAUAAUCCCCAAAUUCAUAUUCAUGGUACCCUUGUGAUCAUCCAUGGACAUGCAGAGAGCGGUGAGAAAACACACACAUACCCAGUGGAGGUUGAAGAAGGCUCUUGUACUGGGGACAAGUGUCCUUUUGGUAGUCUAUGUGGUGUCGUGUUUUUCCCAUUGUAUUUUUUUUUGUUGGUGGUGGUGAUUUCACUGUUUGAAAUGGCCCCAAAGCAUAGUGUUGAUGUGUUUCAGAGCUCAAGAAAGCUGUAAUAUGGCUCAUAGAGAAAAUACUUGUGUUAGAUGAUCGUUGUUUGGGCAUGAGUUACAGUGUUGUUGGCUGUAAAUUCAGUGUUAAUGAAUCAACAAUAUAUUUUAAGUAAGGCGUCUUUAAACAGAAACACAUGUAAGCCAAGGUCAUAUAUUGGUUGGUUGACAAAAAUGUGACUAGAGCUCUGUUCCUCUAUUCCCUCUAUUUCCUCCAGGGCCAGUGACUCAGGAUUUCCUGAUUCAUUAAUUCAGUGUUCACGACGACUUGAGAACAUAACUACUGCUCUACUUGUCCUUGGUCACACCAAGUCCCUUGGUAGCCUCUUGCCCAAUUUGUUUUAUUUAUUUUUUUAAAAAACAGUUGUUGAGGUGUCAUACACUGAGGACAAUAAACUACACAUUUUUUAAAAUGUGUAAUUUUUUGUGUUUUGAUCUAUGGCGGGAAUCGAGGUGAUGAAAAUAUCCAUCACUUCAGUUUUUCCCAUGCUCCUUUGUAGUCCUUCCUUACCCACCCUUUCCUGGAUUUGUUUUCUCUCAUUAUAGAUUAGUUUUUGUUUUCUAGAGCAUUGUAUAAAGGGAAUCAAUGUAUUUUGUCUGGCUUCUUCCACUCAGCAUAUUUAUUUUGAGAUUAUCUGUGUUAAAGCACAUAUCAAUAGUUUGCUCCCUUUUAUUGCUGAGUAGAAUUAAUGAUGUCACAGUUAGAUCAUCCAUCCACGUGGGGAUGGACAUUUGGAUGUUUCCAAGCUUUUGCUGUUUCAAAUACAGCUUCUGGAGGUUGCUUUGUCUUUAUCUGUUUAUCUUUCUUGGCUUAUAGGAAUGCCUUAUCUAUCCUUCUGUCAUUCUUUUUGGAUUUAGUCUCCUUUUGCUGAGGUCAUGGACAUCUGGUUUGGUGCAUGACUGUGAGUCUGCUAGUUAUCUGAGUUCUGGUUUAGGACAGAGUAGGGUUGAGUGGUGAGGAAGACAAAGUCCGAGGUAAGCUGAGGCACCAAGCCGUAGACAACUGUCUCUGACAGGGCUGAAAGUUCUGGAUGCAUGUGGAUCAGUUAAUUGUUCCUGAGUCUGAUCUCUAGUGUCAGUGGCCAAAUCACUGUGGAGACCUCAGAAUCUACCCUUUAUGUAUUUAUUCCAGGUGUGUCAUAAGGUGGUUAAAGAUAAUUCCUGGGAGAGCUGUCCUCAGAUACCCCAGCCUUUGGUUCAGGAGGGCCCAUUGUGGUCAGCAUGAGCUAUUUUGGGACCCUGGAGAUAAGUGCAAGCUUUACUUUGGGGCUUGGGGUGGAUCAUUAUCCAAGGUCCUGCUGUCUUGCCCCUUCUACUAAAAUGACUAGCUACUUAUACUGGGAACUCCUAUAACUCUUGUGAUACUAAAGCUUUGCAUUUCUGGCAUUGCCAUGGACAUGUAAGAGGGUGGGCCUGGGAAACUCUGGCAUGAUACUUACCUAUAUAUUUAUGUCCACUGUUGGUUAUUUAAAACUGUAGGAUAGCAUGCUCUAGCACUUCUAGAUGUCUCAUCCCAAGAGUGACUCUUGCCAGACUCUCCUUCUGUUGUCACCAUUAAAGCUUAUCUUGAACAGGAUUGCCCAGAAAUGGAGACACAGAAGAAGAACAACCAACAGAAGCCUUGUCUGCGUGUGUACCUGCUUAGGUGGAAAACAAGAAAAGGUGCAAAAAAACAAAAAGUAAGG